UUUGAAAUGUGGCUCCUUCAUCCAUGCUUAUGAAUAGGCUCUGGUCCCGGUCAUUAUGCGAUGAACUUACAAGGAUUAUCUUUUUUUUGUUGGUGAGACAGA